GAAAUGCGAUAAGUAAUGUGAAUUGCAGAAUUCAGUGAAUCAUCGAGUCUUUGAACGCACAUUGCGUCCCCUGGUAUUCCGGGGGGCAUGCCUGUCCGAGCGUCAUUGCUGCCCUCAAGCACGGCUUGUGUGUUGGGCCGCCGUCCCGGGGGACUUUUCUCCCCCGCGGGACGGGCCCGAAAGGCAGCGGCGGCACCGUGUCCGGUCCUCGAGCGUAUGGGGCUCUGUCACCCGCUCUGGUAGGCCCGGCCGGCGCGCCAGCCCUUCUCAACCAUUUUUGUUCUUUCUCCAGGUUGACCUCGGAUCAGGUAGGGAUACCCGCUGAACUUAA
rnacentral:misc_RNA from 1 species